AAAUAUUGUUCAGCUUUAAACAUUAUUCAGCUUUAAAUAUUGUUCAGCUUUAAACAUUAUUCAGCUUUAAAUAUUGUUCAGCUUUAAAGUUACUGUGCAACUGUGUAAUAAAAAUGUGCUCACGACUUUGGCCUUGAGAGCGAUAAGAAGCGAUCGCCUCAUCCUGCAGGUGAAAGAUAUCUGCAAGCGAAGAGACUAGAACACCCAAGGCCGCUUUCCUUUUAUGGAGUUGUUUUUCUGCUAAUGCAGCACUGUCCUCACAACCCCCUCCUGUAAGUUUUAGAGAAUAUAUACCCAUCCUCACAGCAAAUAUUUGGAAUCUCUUGAUGUGAGCUGCGUUGAGAGUUUGUCUCUGUCUCAAUAAAAGUUCACUGAUUCCCCAUCUGCAGCAGGUGUCCGGUUGUCUUCAUUCUCCGCCAGCCUGGUUAAGUCAAUUCCUCCUUAACAUCUAAAAGAACCUAUUUAAUGAAGGAAGACGGGUUCACUUUGUGUUUAAUAUUAUUCUAUUGCUGUUGUUGUUUUUUUUGUAUCCUUCAAUUGGCGUCACGAACAGGAUCCGCUCCAGGUCAAACUGGAACGGGAGGGAGGACAUCGGCCGUGGUCUGAGUGAACGGAGUUUGGACAAAAGCUGUGUACACACAAAAAACAAGUGUCUUCAUACAGGUGUUUUUUCUUAACCUGGAAGCCUGAGUACGGCAGCAGAAGACAGGCCAAGCUUUGGCUAAAAUUCACGGCUGGACACCAGAGUUGUCCUCACCCCUCCCGGUAAAACAAAAAAGAGAGAAUGUAGUUUGAGGCGGGUUUUUCUUGCUGAACCGCUCUGGGUGCUGUGUCCCUGAAUCUCACCGGUGUUAACCUCUGGCGGAAGACAUGGAGAAAAGGAAAAGAUGUUCCUGGUAAAUCACUGAAACAAAUAAAACCACACACAACCAGAGAAAGAUAUGAGAAGGGUGAGGAACAGACACAUGUGCGUGUUAGAGACAUGCCUCGUUUGAGAAAAAGUUAAAGUAACCCAUAUACAGACGCACCCAUACAUGCAAUGAAGAAACAGCUUACAUACAUGUGCACGUACAUGCAAGGUUAAAGUAGCGACACUUAACAUACACCUGUUUUUAAAUGAUAUAGUUUAUACAUUACUGACAAUUAAACGCUUUGGGUUGCAGGACAACAACGUAACGUUAAAAGACAAAGACACUGGUCUGAGGAUUAAGUGAGGACACGACAAAUUUAGUGGUUAAAAGGGUCGACUUGGGACAUGUUUUUGUUGAUUGUUUAAGACAAAUGACUACUGAAUGAUAGGAAAUUCCUUUUUAGGUUUCUAAACAGGAUCUUAAGAAUUUUAACACGUACCUGUGUUGUCCUGUCAACUUGAGGGGUUAGGAGUUGAUUAUAUGGUGAAAAAAAAAAAAAAAAAAAAAAAAAAAAACAAAAACAAAAAAGGGGGGAGACGAGAUCUCGUUGUUUCUCCCCUCUCGGGAUAACACAGCCAACACAGCACAGCCAACACAACAUCAUUUUCCUGUUCGCCUGUUUUGUUUUGUUUUUGUUUUUUCUGAGAGCCGAAGCUGACCUGGACUCCUACCCUCCCCUCUACCAUCGUUGCCCUCUCCGCGACCAUCUUUGACCCUUUGACCCCUGAAGGCCACAGCAGCUGGACUCACAACAACAACUUGAGGAUGUCAACAGUGCUGCAAAAGAGUGAUCUCAUGCAGCAGAGACGGAGAGCACUAAACCUAAAGCCCGUUUCACUACACGGGGGAAAUUCCCAGGCUGCGUCAGCUGACAGAGCUGUGACGAGACGCGCAUUAAGCCCGGAGGAAAAGGGACGGUGAGCAGAAGGAUGCUGACCUCUGAGAAGAGCCGAACAGCAGAGCUGCAGAAGGCCGUGGAGCAAAGUAAGGAAGAUGCAGGCAGCUGCAACAACGGAUGAAAACAGACCCAAAGAGGAGGGGAGGACCCUAGGCCAUGCGUCAGGCCGCUGGUUUACCUAAACUACAGAACAGAAAGGUGAUGAACACAAACAUAUACCAACACACGAACACACACUUCUGCAUGCGCCUACUUAGAAUGAAGGGAAACACACACAUGAACACUUAUGCACUUGUUGAGGGAGUAAAAACUGAUACAUACCCAUGCACUAAAAUCAAAAUGUUGAUUUAAUUUACUAAGAAGUGACACACAAUGCUCCAGCUGCUGCAAUGAAGAAUGCUUUACUGACAAAGGCUCAAUGCUGCACACAACAAAGUCAAAUACAGAAUUUGCUAUAAUAAUAAGCCCGGAGGGCAUUUGUGUGGUCUGGGGAGCAGUGUCCGGAGCGGUUUGGUUAUGAAAAUGAUGCCCGUGCGAGAUAUCUGGGGCUUAAGGCCUCGACUUAAUUGUUUACUCUACACUAAAAAGAAAAGAAAACACUCUGAGCAGUGGUGCAGAGUGAAAACGAGGAAUUAACAGUGUGAGUUUUAUUUCAGAGCGCCACGUCAUUGUGAUGGAGAUUUAAUAAAGGAGGAACACACGGACAAAGAAGAAGAGAAGGGGGGGCAGCUCUUGAACGCGAUUGCCUGAGGCAUUAAAGUUCUGUACUAAAUUCUGGUUUCCAGUGUGAGAAAAGUCACGCAGUGCCAGUAGUAGAGCUAGGUUGAGUGAUGAUUCUAAAUUACUGUAAGUAAAUCAUCGUACACCGUUCAAGUUUCAUGAAAACGGGGAUCUAGACUUUGUUGAACCCUAGGCAAUUUGAACAGGUAAAAGUCGAGUGACCAAGUAGCAGUUGAAUAAAAGUCAUUGAAUAAGUGUUGAAAUAAACUGGCAGAAUUAAGAGAAUUAAAACAUUUCAAGAGCUCAACUUACUUAAUGGUUCAAUUUUGUUUCACGAACGCAAAACAUAUAGGUUUAUGAAUAUGAAAAGGUUGAGGUGGUGUUGAUUUGACUCUGUGUAGGUUUAGGUUGGUAUUUUUAUUGAUGGGAAGAAUAUUCAGUGACAAGUCCUAAGACCCGGGCGUCUGCAUUUUGUUUUUGUUAUUUUUCAUUUUAUUUUGUUUUAUAUUUACUGAUUUUUGUUGGUGAAUCUUUUCUUUAAGCAGAUCUGCACAUCGGAAAUUACAAGCAUUACACGUCGGCGAGAAAAUUGUUGUAAGUGAGUUUCUCCGCAUUGAAAUGGGUUCUGGAGGAAACACUUGUGGGGACAAUUAGAAACGAGAGUCCCUGUUUAAAAAAGGAUUCGGCGAGGUAAUCCAAACUCAAGUUCUUGUUUCUUUUUGAGAUGACGUCAUUUUGCUGAGUGUGGAAACUAGAUGCGACGACAGGUUUCACUAUCAGCAAAGAACGGAUGAAUGGAUGAAAGACUGGGAAUAAAAACAAACGGACUGACUGGUAAAAGAUGACAAGACUUGACCAUGACUCAAGGUUAACCACCUCCACCUAGAUAGGAUAAAAGGGUGGAUGAAUUUAUGUGGGUUUCUUUUACAGGAGUAGAAGGAUGACAAAAUAUUCGAGGAUGAGUGAACCUGUAAAUGCCAUUUUUGUGUCUUGUGUUGCUUACAGAGGUAACUGCGCAGCGUUACCAUUUACAUUUUCUUCCCUACAGGGUUACAGUUUUAAUGUUUUUCUAUUACAGGAUUUCUGGGCGGAUGUGUGAAGAAACGGUGUUUAUGGGUUAGGAGUUGGGGAUGCUAUUACACUGUAUUUACAGGAAAUGUUUUAUAGCACCUAUGGAAUGAGGAUGCCUGACUACGGUCAAUGUGCUGCUAAUGUUUGCUUUGCUUUGGUGAGAGGGGUGCAGUAGAAAACAGACAAGUGACAUGAAAACAAGUAAUAAUAACAAAUAACAAAUUUGGGGACAGUUUGACCUAGAGCCCACUAACUGGCCAUUAGGGGCUCUCGCUCUCGCUCUCCCUCUCUCCCUCUCUCUCUCUCUCUCUCUCUCUCUCUCUCUCUCUCUCUCUCUCUCUCUCUCUCUCUCUCUCUCUCUCAUUGCCCAAAGGGUGAAUAAAGCAAAUUGUGGCAAUAAUAGUGAUUUAAUGAUUGGAGAAACCUGAACAUGAUACUUGUCUGUUGAGCUGAAUCGUUUAUUACUCUUAUGAUUUUCCGGUGGGACUAUGAAGAUUUUUUGGUACAGAUUGCAGGUUGUUGCUCUUUAACUCCUAGAACACGCCCUUGGCGAGGUGGGGGGAACUGGACCACCUUUCUGUGCCCCAUCAUCCUCUAUUAGACGACAUCCAAGCUAAGUAAACAUGUCUUGGCCCUUUCCCCCUGAAAUGACAGGCAGGCAAAGAUGUUGCGUAUUUGUUUGCUUCCUGGCCCUGGGUCUCAUUCCCAUUGGCAUAAUCCUGAUCUGUGAAGGGCCCCCGACACUUAUGACACCUUCAAGUUCAAAAGCUUCGCCCCCUUCUGACAGUCCCAAUCUGACAAAUGUAGCCCCUAGGGUCUUGCCCACCACUUCCUCUCCAGUUUUACCAUAUUCACUUUUGAAUGUCCUUAGCAGUUACCGUUCUGAGUUUAUUUUACGGUUGAUUUAUUCUUUCACAUUUUCACGUUUAUAUCUCUCAUUAUUAUAGUAUACUCUGUACUCUCCACAUUUUUAUCAUUACUUAUGCUUUUUGGUUGCUGAGUUACAGGAACUGUUAAUUUUGUGUCACUACCCUGGUUGCACUAACUCGUUGUACCCUUGUGUGCAGGACAGCUGUUACUGCUUUCAUCGGGAACCGAGACUGCUUGCAGCCGACCCCUGGGCAGGGUGGUGCCUGGACUCUUUUCUCCUCAUCUGCAAUGACAGAUAAAGACAAAUGAAAAGACCCGAGGAGUUUUUCGAGCCAGGCUUCGACACGUCUCUGUGUUCCUUUGAUUGUUACUUAUUUUUGUGUGUUGACCCAUUUAAGAUGGGUCAAAAGGGGGAUUUGAAGAAAAUAUAAUCUGAUCAAACAUUAUUCAGCUUUAAAUAUUGUUCAGCUUUAAACAUUAUUCAGCUUUAAAUAUUGUUCAGCUUUAAACAUUAUUCAGCUUUAAAUAUUGUUCAGCUUUAAACAUUAUUCAGCUUUAAAUAUUGUUCAGCUUUAAAGUUACUGUGCAACUGUGUAAUAAAAAUGUGCUCACGACUUUGGCCUUGAGAGCGAUAAGAAGCGAUCGCCUCAUCCUGCAGGUGAAAGAUAUCUGCAAGCGAAGAGACUAGAACACCCAAGGCCGCUUUCCUUUUAUGGAGUUGUUUUUCUGCUAAUGCAGCACUGUCCUCACAACCCCCUCCUGUAAGUUUUAGAGAAUAUAUACCCAUCCUCACAGCAAAUAUUUGGAAUCUCUUGAUGUGAGCUGCGUUGAGAGUUUGUCUCUGUCUCAAUAAAAGUUCACUGAUUCCCCAUCUGCAGCAGGUGUCCGGUUGUCUUCAUUCUCCGCCAGCCUGGUUAAGUCAAUUCCUCCUUAACAUCUAAAAGAACCUAUUUAAUGAAGGAAGACGGGUUCACUUUGUGUUUAAUAUUAUUCUAUUGCUGUUGUUGUUUUUUUUGUAUCCUUCAGCAUGUA
ensembl:lncRNA